rnacentral:rRNA from 1 species
AACAGACGAGGAGCUUGCUCCUCUGACGUUAGCGGCGGACGGGUGAGUAACACGUGGAUAACCUACCUAUAAGACUGGGAUAACUUCGGGAAACCGGAGCUAAUACCGGAUAAUAUAUUGAACCGCAUGGUUCAAUAGUGAAAGACGGUUUUGCUGUCACUUAUAGAUGGAUCCGCGCCGCAUUAGCUAGUUGGUAAGGUAACGGCUUACCAAGGCAACGAUGCGUAGCCGACCUGAGAGGGUGAUCGGCCACACUGGAACUGAGACACGGUCCAGACUCCUACGGGAGGCAGCAGUAGGGAAUCUUCCGCAAUGGGCGAAAGCCUGACGGAGCAACGCCGCGUGAGUGAUGAAGGUCUUCGGAUCGUAAAACUCUGUUAUUAGGGAAGAACAAAUGUGUAAGUAACUAUGCACGUCUUGACGGUACCUAAUCAGAAAGCCACGGCUAACUACGUGCCAGCAGCCGCGGUAAUACGUAGGUGGCAAGCGUUAUCCGGAAUUAUUGGGCGUAAAGCGCGCGUAGGCGGUUUUUUAAGUCUGAUGUGAAAGCCCACGGCUCAACCGUGGAGGGUCAUUGGAAACUGAAAAACUUGAGUGCAGAAGAGGAAAGUGGAAUUCCAUGUGUAGCGGUGAAAUGCGCAGAGAUAUGGAGGACACCAGUGGCGAAGGCGACUUUCUGGUCUGU